GACAAUAAUCCAGGCGAUGCCAAAUUAAAGACUGGCACCAUUCCCAAGGCAAAGGCUGGCACCGGUGUUGGCAAUCCAGUUCGAAAACCUAUUGUUGUUCCAUGUAGACAGACAACAAACCUGCAGUUCCCAAGAAGACGGCUGGUUUUCAUCCACGUGAUACCGAGGUGAAAGCAGAUAGCGAGGAGGUCGAUCCGGCACACAGAACCUUGUUUGAUGAUUAUUGUAUUGAUACAGAUAAUCCGCUUGGUAAAGGUAGCUUUGGCACUGUGUUUCCGGGGACCAGUAAAGCCGAUGGCAAACCGCCUGGAUCUGGAUUGGUUCUUACAGAACUAGCAGUGUUGCUCAAGUUAAAGGAAAAUCCAAACCCUUAUGUGAUCAAACUUUAUGACAGCUACAGAUGUGGCCUUUAAAAACGCGUGUUUUCUCCCGCGGCAUUCGCCAAUUCGUCUCACGGAGUCUCGCAGAAUUCUGCAAGUGCUUUCGGGGGGGCUACUUUCCCUUUUCCCUUAAUGUGUUUCGCUUCACAGAAUAUCCACCAGGUGGCGCAUAAAAGUGUAUGCUUUGUCAUUGCGGUUGUUUCCAGAAGUUAAUAAGGGCUUUGCUGAAUAUAUAACAUUGCUAUUAAAACAACAAAGUGACGUCAACCCCUUCUUGCCAGCAUAACAGCGCAUACAACUAAUAAGACGUGCAAUGCGCAUUUAUACUAAAGUGCAACAGAGACCCUUACGAAAAUAAACCAUGGGUCUAUUGUGGUAAAAGUGUAGUAAUCAUGUUUUUUUUUGGUGUAUUGAUUACUACGGGUUUACUACACUUACCAUGGUACACCUUUAUACACCUUUCUGCUUUGUUUAAAUUGACAAGCAUUUUAUUCGCCACUGUCAACACGGUUUGUGAUUGAUUUACUGAUUUAUUACAGAAACUUGUCAGAAGCAAAGCUGUUGUACUAAGCAUCUUUAAAUAUAUGUUUUGAAGUAAAAAAUGUUGUAAAAAAUAUAGUAGCAUUCUUAUGUAUGAAGAAUAACAAUAUGAUACAUUUAUAUUGCGCUAAAAUGCUUUACAUAUGGAAAGAGGAAUUAUUCUCAACCAUGGGCGGCGCUAGAGGUGGGCUAGCGGGGCUUGAGCCCCGGACCUAUUUUGUAAAGCCCCGAUUGUUAUAAUAUGGGCGUAACUAAUUUUAAUCUGUUAAAAUAUUUUCUAUUACAGCCGAACUGUAAAUCUCUCGUCAAGAACUGUCAACUUGCUCGUUUGAUUAUUUAUGUAGACGGUUAAAAACACGUCUUAUAGACCUUUCUUUUCCCUUCCAAAGCGCGUGAGAGGUGGCGCGUCUUUCGUUGCUACUGUACGCAACCAUGAGCACGCUCUCCGUGACGGCAAGUGACUGAAUGCGUGAUCGGAUUUGAAUUGCUCAUAUUCAGGGAACUACACUGCGACCAAAAUGGUCGCAUAUGCAACCUUUUGAACUGCCGAUGCGACCCUAAUUUUUAAUGGGUCGCAAAUGUGCUACCUAAUGUUUUAGACAAUAUGCUAUGAUUUACUAUGAGCAUUUAUUAAAACAUAAAUGUGGAUUUUAAGAAUACGUUUUAUAACGUGCUCUGAGCCUUCAACAAGUUGGCUUCAUUUUGCGUGAAAGCACGUUGUGUCUCUCCCUAUGAGUCUGCAUUCGCAUGCGUUCGCGUGCUCUCUGUUUCUCAAUGAAUUGGGUGUGACGCGAAGCAAGCUCAGGCCACGUUUACAUGGAAACGAUCUGAAAAGAAACCGCAAAAGUGGCGUUGGGUUAUCACUUUUUAUUCCGCGUUUAUACAAGCAUUUUGAGGGGGAAAGCUGCGUGCAUAUGGUGACGCAAAAGUGUGUGAUUUUCGAUGUAGUAUGCACUCCAGGCGGCUAGGUGGCAAUGUGAAGCACUGAAACACAACAACACCCAGUCCGUGAGCCUGCGUACAACCUUCUUCCUGGUUCUCCCAGGUCUCGUCCAAAGCCGUCUGGUUUGCCUCCGACGAAUUGGCGCAUCAACAGUUUCACUGAGGUAAUUAACGCGCCUUCUCUGAUCAGUAAUACUUGCUGUGAAUAAUUUGUACAACUGCU